ensembl:misc_RNA Metazoa_SRP Metazoan signal recognition particle RNA
GCUGGGCGUGGUGGUGCACGCCUGUAAUCCCAGCUACUCAGGAGGCUGAGACACAAGAAUCGCUUGAACUCAGGAGGCGGAGGUUGCAGUGAGCCAAGACUGUGCCACUGCACUCCAGCCUGGGUGACUGAGCGAGACUCUGUCUCAA